GUCAAGAAACUUAUGGAAAAUCUGUCUCUGCAAAGGGGAAAAAGAAGAAAAAGAAAAUAGGAAAGAAUGUGAGAUGUGAACAGUGGAGUUCAUAGAUGAUUUAGAAAAUUCUUAGGUGUGUAUAAAUUUUGAACGUGCCAAUCUCUGUACGAGAAUAUUCUUUGCAGAUCAUUUAGUUUAUCUAUUCCUGCUUGGUACUUUAUUCCCCCCCCCCCCCCCUCUCUGCUCACUUUACUUGGUCAUUCUUUUUUGGUGCAGCAAUUGCUUGAGAUCAACUUUUUGCAGAUCAUGUAGAUGUACAACUUUUAGUGCUGAGAACUCGUACAUUGGGCGUAGAGCUCUAUGUUAGUCCAGCUUUAGAAUUGUCCAGAGAUUCAACAUCAAGUUGGAAGUGGAUCAAGAGAAACGUGAGACACUUCUUUUGACUUCUGUUAUCAUGGAUUUAUUGCCUAUGAUUAUUUUGAAACAUUGAAGGGAACUUGCACUGGAACGUAUAAAGGACUAAGAAUCAAGUGGGGCAGAUGUCUUGUUUCAUUUUGAAGAGUAAGGAGAGAAUCUGAAACAUGUGUCCUCCCGAGUUCUUACUUCUCCCUUUUCCCAAAAAAUGAGUUCUCUGUAGAAUCAUUUGUUAAUUUGGAGAUCAGGUAUAUGAUAGUUUCGUAUUUGUAAUUGGUCGAUGAUACACACAUUUAGCCUUCAAAUUUCCUACCUGAUAUUUUCGAUGUGUUUAGUAGGCCUUACCUGUAUUUUCA
rnacentral:lncRNA from 1 species